rnacentral:rRNA from 1 species
UACGGAGGGUGCAAGCGUUAUCCGGAUUCACUGGGUUUAAAGGGUGCGUAGGAGGGUAGGUAAGUCAGUGGUGAAAUCUUCGAGCUUAACUCGGAAACUGCCGUUGAUACUAUCUAUCUUGAAUACCGUGGAGGUGAGCGGAAUAUGUUAUGUAGCGGUGAAAUGCUUAGAUAUGACAUAGAACACCAAUUGCGAAGGCAGCUCGCUACACGAAUAUUGACUCUGAGGCACGAAAGCGUGGGGAUCAAACAGG